rnacentral:lncRNA from 1 species
GAAAAUCGGUGUACUCGCUACUGCCCAUCCUACCUAGAAGGCUUGUAUCAGAAGUACUGUUUUUUCAAAUGGAUAAGGCUGUGUUCCUGGAAGAGAUGGCUUCUAGGAAUAUUACCUAUAAGUUCUUUAAUAGUUACGGUAAUCGUGCUAGUCCUGCACUUUUCAUUCUGUAAGUGUAACUCCCCAGUAUAGUCUGGAUGGGAUGUUUUUUCUUGUACUGUGUGAAUGAUUAGUAUGAAAAGUUCUGCACUAAGCAGCUAAGCAUGUACCGUGUGUAUAAACUACUGACUUUCCCGGCUCCUUAAUGUCCUUGCUAAAGCAAUAAAAUGCAUAAUAAUUAUCAGUUGGUAGUUGCACAAGAAUAAUGAAGGUAUUUAUUUUAUGUCUAAGUUUUUUAUCUCUGCUUGUGAAUAACCAUCAUUAUUAUAACUGUCAUCUUUCCUAAGAACCUACAGGAAUUAACUGUCUACCUUCUAUUCACUUUCCCAAAAGAGGAUGGCUACUUAACUAAUGUACGUUCCUUCCCAGAUCUCAACAAAUAGCCAUUAUAACAGUAUCUCUUUAGGAGGGUAGUGCUGCAAAAAAAUGGAAGUUUAACCACUAAGCUUCCUAGUAAAAAUGCUUGUUUGAACCUGUACCUCAUUCUUCUCCCUUACUUCUGGGCAUUAUUUUGUUAAUGGGACUGACACAGCAUUCUGGCUGUUACUGCAUAUUUCUCUUAGGAACUAAUAUUUACAGAUGGCAAGGACAAAUACAUGCUUCUACAAACUUCUUGUUCCGGAAGCUUUUCUGUAAUGUUUUUAGGUGUGCUAAUUUUUUUUAUCCUUUUUUUGUCAGCUCCAGCUUUCUCCUUUAUUUAUAUUGGUGGAAGUGUAGAAAUUCCAAAUCUGACUUACACAAAUGAUCUCAAUGAUCCAAAGUCACAGAAGUUCCUCCUGCAAGCAAAAGCAAUCCAAAAUUAUUUUGCAGAAACAUAUGAGUCUUCCUCCUUGGGAAAGUACUACUGGAAGUCUGUAGUGGUUGCUUUCAGUGAAGGAGAGUCUGGACUGCGAGCUUACUACUGGAAUACCUUCUGGGCACCACAAAAUGUGGUUGCUUCUCUUAAAAAAAUAUCCUCAGUGGAACAAAAAGAAAUCAGUAGUAAACAAGCAGCUCCCGUGUUCAGUUCUUCUGGGGAGGAAGAUUUUGAUCUCGUUACAAUGGAGCUUUUUGGUAACAAUGUACCUGUCAUUUAA